CUACGGGCGGCAGCAGUGGGGAAUAUUGCACAAUGGGGGGAACCCUGAUGCAGCAACGCCGCGUGGAGGAUGACACAUUUCGGUGCGUAAACUCCUUUUAUAGGUCAAGAUAAUGACGGUAGCCUAUGAAUAAGCGCCGGCUAACUCCGUGCCAGCAGCCGCGGUAAUACGGAGGGCGCAAGCGUUACUCGGAAUCACUGGGCGUAAAGAGCAUGUAGGCGGGUUAAUAAGUCAGAAGUGAAAUCCAAUAGCUCAACUAUUGAACUGCUUUUGAAACUGUUAACCUAGAGUGUGGGAGAGGUAGAUGGAAUUUCUGGUGUAGGGGUAAAAUCCGUAGAGAUCAGAAGGAAUACCGAUUGCGAAGGCGAUCUACUGGAACAUUACUGACGCUGAGAUGCGAAAGCGUGGGGAGCAAACAGGAUUAGAUACCCCCGUAGUC
rnacentral:rRNA from 1 species